UACAGAGGUCUCAAGCGUUGUUCGGAUUCAUUGGGCGUAAAGGGUGCGUAGGUGGCGCGCUAAGUCAGGUGUGAAAUUUCGGAGCUUAACUCCGAAACUGCAUUUGAUACUGGCGUGCUUGAGGACUGGAGAGGAGACUGGAAUUCAUGGUGUAGCAGUGAAAUGCGUAGAGAUCAUGAGGAACACCAGUGGCGAAGGCGGUGCUCUGGGCCGGAACUGACGCUGAGGAGCGAAAGCGUGGGGAGCAAACAGG
rnacentral:rRNA from 1 species